rnacentral:rRNA from 1 species
AUUGAACGCUGGCGGCAGGCUUAACACAUGCAAGUCGAGCGGUAGCACAGGGGAGCUUGCUCCCUGGGUGACGAGCGGCGGACGGGUGAGUAAUGUCUGGGAAACUGCCUGAUGGAGGGGGAUAACUACUGGAAACGGUAGCUAAUACCGCAUAACGUCGCGAGACCAAAGAGGGGGACCUUCGGGCCUCUUGCCAUCAGAUGUGCCCAGAUGGGAUUAGCUAGUAGGUGGGGUAAUGGCUCACCUAGGCGACGAUCCCUAGCUGGUCUGAGAGGAUGACCAGCCACACUGGAGCUGAGACACGGUCCAGACUCCUACGGGAGGCAGCAGUGGGGAAUAUUGCACAAUGGGCGCAAGCCUGAUGCAGCCAUGCCGCGUGUGUGAAGAAGGCCUUCGGGUUGUAAAGCACUUUCAGCGAGGAGGAAGGUGGUGAGCUUAAUACGUUCAUCAAUUGACGUUACUCGCAGAAGAAGCACCGGCUAACUCCGUG